GAUGAACGCUGGCGGCGUGCCUAAUACAUGCCAGUCGAGCGAACGGACGAGAAGCUUGCUUCUCUGAUGUUAGCGGCGGACGGGUGAGUAACACGUGGAUAACCUACCUAUAAGACUGGGAUAACUUCGGGAAACCGGAGCUAAUACCGGAUGAUAUUUUGAACCGCAUGGUUCAAAAGUGAAAGACGGUCUUGCUGUCACUUAUAGAUGGAUCCGCGCUGCAUUAGCUAGUUGGUAAGGUAACGGCUUACCAAGGCAACGAUGCAUAGCCGCCCUGAGAGGGGCACCGGCCAACCGGAAACGGAGACAGGUCCAGACCCCCGAGGGAGGGAAGCAGAGGGGAAUCUUCCGCAAUGGCCAAAAGCCUGACGGAGCACCGCGGGGGGAGUGAUGAGGGUCUUCGGAUGUUAAAACUUUUUUAUUAGGAAAAAAAAUAUGUGUAAGUACCUGUGCACUUCUGGACGGUACCUAAUCAAAAAGCCCCGGCUAACUCCGUG
rnacentral:rRNA from 1 species